ensembl:miRNA gga-mir-6556 gga-mir-6556
GAUGCGCAGAGAGCUCUCCGGGCGGAAGGCUGCUCGGCCCGCGCUGCUCCUCGCGUCCUCCGCGCGGCGGCGGUCCGAGCAGCUCCCGCUCGGUCUCAGCCGUUGC